GCAAUGAAGUAGCUCAGUUGGUGAGAGUGUGGUGCUGAUAACACCAAGAUCGCAGGUUCAAUCCCCAUACGGGGCAGCU